rnacentral:tRNA from 1 species
UGAUGGGUAGUUUAAUGGUAAAAUACUGGUCUCCAAAACCAGUUGAUAUGGGUUCAAAUCCUAUCCCAUCAG